rnacentral:tRNA from 2 species
GAAUUUGUAUCAAAAAGGUUAUGACGUCUAGCUGAUAAUUAGAUAGAUAGAGGUUCAAUUCCUCUCAAAUUCU